rnacentral:rRNA from 1 species
UACGGAGGGUGCGAACGUUAAUCGGAAUUACUGGGCGUAAAGCGCACGUAGGCGGCUCGCUAAGAGGGAUGUGAAAGCCCUGGGCUUAACCUGGGAAUUGCAUUCCAAACUGGCGGGCUAGAGUGUGGUAGAGGGGGGUAGAAUUCCCUGUGUAGCGGUGAAAUGCGUAGAUAUAGGGAGGAAUACCUGUGGCGAAGGCGGCCCCCUGGACCAACACUGACGCUGAGGUGCGAAAGCGUGGGGAGCAAACAGG